rnacentral:rRNA from 1 species
UACGGGGGGGAGCAAGCGUUGUUCGGAUUUACUGGGCGUAAAGGGCGCGUAGGCGGCCAGCACAAGUCAGUUGUGAAAUCUCCGAGCUUAACUCGGAAAGGUCAACUGAUACUGUGCGGCUAGAGUGCGGAAGGGGCAACUGGAAUUCUUGGUGUAGCGGUGAAAUUCGUAGAUAUUCGGAAGAACACCAGUGGCGAAAAGCGGCUUCCUGGUCCAGCACCGACGUUCAGGCACGGAAAGC